AUGGUGGCGGUUUGCAGCUGGAACAGGGGAAUUGAAGGCGUUCGAGCAGUCGGCGUGGAGGACGGCCUCGUAGUGAGUUCGACGGAGAGGGUUGUCUCGCAACAGGGUGUGGGACGAGUGCGGCGGAUCAAGCCACGAUUCGCGGUGCUGGAGAUUGAUGACAGAUGUGCGGUUGCGUCGAGCGGAAUUACGGUAGGCCUUGCGUGGGUGUAG